GCCCACCGAGCCGGCUGCGCCCGGGGCCCCGCGGGGCGAGCGCUGGGGACGCGGCAUCAGCGCAGGAGUCCCGCAGGCGCUGCCCAGCGUCGCAGCCCCGAUACCAGGCUAGAUGGGCCCCUGCUCUCACUGGGCCUGGCAGGUCCUGAGCAGCAGCUUGUGCAUCCCCCAGAGCCUGGACGCGCAGGGAGGUGGCGGGGGGCAUCUACCAGGCAGAGCUGACCCUGUACGGAGACCCAGUGCGGGAAGACAUGCGGGAGCCGAAGUUCACAGCUGCUGUGGCCUUGGCCCUUCCUUCUGCCCUUUCCUGCUAGAGCAAAGAGCUGCCAGAAAUCUCCUUGUGGCUGUGCUCGGCUGCCCAGCGCAGUGCUCUGUAGCCCCAGCGAACCAUCCUGGUCAGACAGUUCUCAAGCUGCACUGGGAAACUAGGUAAGAUGUUUGUCCCGCUGCUCCAGCCCCCCCUUACCCUCCUCUGGUGGUUAGAAACCUCUUCUUCCAGCUUGCAUUUACUCCUGGCCAUUUAUCCCCGUUUGUUUUUGUGCCAAUGCUGUCCCUUAGUAUCAGGAGCCCUUCUUCCUCCCUGGUGGUUUGGGUGCCAGCUGCUUGCUUUACCAGUUGGGAGUUGAGAUUUCCUUCCAGAAUCCCUGGUAAAGGUCCUCAGCAGCAUUGUGCCAGGAACAGAUCCCUCCUUGCAUGAGGGUUCCCCCAUUGGCUGCUGUUCUCUGAGAUCUACUCGGCUGUGUCCAAGAUGUUGGUAUUGCAGACGUGAGGAGGAUUCGCAGAGCGGCCGAAGGGGC
rnacentral:lncRNA from 1 species